ACGGCUCAGUAACACGUGGACAACCUGCCCAAAGGUCCGGGAUAACCCCGGGAAACUGGGGAUAAUACCGGAUAAAUCACAGGUACUGGAAGGUCUUGUGGUUGAAACUUCCGGGGCCUUUGGAUGGGUCUGCGGCGGAUUAGGUUGUUGCCGGUGUAACGUACCGUCAAGCCUGUAAUCCGUACGGGUUGUGGGAGCAAGAGCCCGGAGAUGGAUUCUGAGACACGAAUCCAGGCCCUACGGGGCGCAGCAGGCGCGAAAACUCUACAAUGCAGGCAACUGCGAUAGGGGAACAUCGAGUGAUACUCAUCUUGGGUGUCUGUCCUCCCGUCUAAAAAACGGGAGUUAGCAAGGGCCGGGCAAGACCGGUGCCCGCCGCCGCGGUAAUACCGGCGGCUCGAGUGGUGGCCGAUAUUAUUGAGUUUAAAGGGUCCGUAGCCGGCUUUGCAAGUCUUUUGGGAAAUCCAGCGGCUUAACCGUUGGUCGUCCGGGAGAUACUACRUUGCUUGGGACUGGGAGAGGUAGGAGGUACUCAGGGGGUAGGAGUGAAAUCCUGUAAUCCUUUGGGGACCACCGGUGGCGAAGGCGUCCUACCAGAACAGGUCCGACGGUGAGGGACGAAAGCUAGGGGCACGAACCGGAUUAGAUACCCGGGUAGUCCUAGCCGUAAACGAUGCUCGCUAGGUGUCACAACAAUCGUGAAUUGUUGUGGUGCCGUAGGGAAGCCGUGAAGCGAGCCACUUGGGAAGUACGACCGCAAGGUUGAAACUUAAAGGAAUUGGCGGGGGAGCAC
rnacentral:rRNA from 1 species